rnacentral:rRNA from 1 species
GUAGUCUCGCACAGAUGCAUAUCAAUAAGCGGAGGAAAAGAAACUAACAAGGAUUCCCUUAGUAACGGCGAGUGAAGCGGGAAGAGCUCAAAUUUGAAAUCUUCAAGGUUUUACCUUGACGAAUUGUAGUUUAAAGAAGUGUUUUCUGUUGAAGUUUUGGUAAAAGUUCUUUGGAAUAGGACAUCAUAGAGGGUGAGAAUCCCGUAUUUGACCAUUAUUUUCAGCUGUGUGAUACACUUUCAAAGAGUCGGAUUGUUUGGGAAUGCAGUCCAAAAUGGGUGGUAAAUUUCAUCUAAAGCUAAAUAUUGGCGAGAGACCGAUAGCGAACAAGUACCGUGAGGGAAAGAUGAAAAGAACUUUGAAAAGAGAGUUAAACAGUACGUGAAAUUGUCAAAAGGGAAGCGUUUGACACCAGUGUUGUUUUUCUGAAAAUCAAUUAAAGAACUGUUUAUGCUAAGUUGUUUAGACUUUAUCAGCUAACUGUUUAGUUUUGAGCUUUUCUUUAAUGCACUUUUCAGUUAACAAGUCAACAUCAAUUUCUUUUGCUGUAAAAAAGCUUGAGGAAGGUGGCUUGAGAUUCGUCUUAAGUGUUUAUAGCCUCUUGCCUAUGCAGUCGGAGAGAUUGAGGUCUGCAGCGUAGAUCCUUCGGGGCUAAAUGCAUUUGUGCUAAGUUAUAGCAUUUUAUAGACAACUUGUUGACUAUGAUUUGUCUUGUAGCUUACUCGCUUAUGUUAUUUUACCUACGCUUAGGAUGUUGAUGUGAUACUGCGAGCA